GUUUCUUCUGAAAAAUCUCAGAAGCUGGGACUGCAGAACGACAAAAUUACAGCUUCCGGGCACACCUGUGUUCAAGUUCCAGCUUCACCCUCUACUGAUAUUGCAGCCAUAAUGUACUGAUAUUGCAGUCACAGUGCCUGCCUCUUGGGGUGGCCUGAAGAUGACUUGAGAUGGGGUAGGUCAAGUGCUUGGCUGGAGCCGGCACAGUGCACGCCUCCCAGAAGAGGUUAUUGAUACUCUCAUGAGACUUAUAAGCAUCCAGCCUCUGCCGCUCAGGGGUGAUGCACAUGGAGGAGGUGGGGAGCCUGUUCAGACCCUCGGACCCUGUACCUGUUCGCUCAUGGUGUUGAUCCCAUCGGGCCCCAGCAGAGACACUGCCUGCUUCACCAGGUCUGUUCGUCCACAGUUCAGCAUCCGGAAACCCAGGUCCUGCUUAAACUUGGCUUCGAUGGCCACCGCAUCCAGCUUUCGAGAUGCACAAAAGCAGUCGUCGGCCCUAAGGAAGGGAAGAGACAUCAUGCGGGUACAGCGGCUUCCCAGAGGGGCACAGGAGCAAACUCCGCAGGAAGCACCCUGGGACAUUGCAUUUGCUUUUCAUGUAAAUUGCCUGUUCCUAGGCUCCAAUUAAAAUGAUGGCCUCCGGAUGUCUCUUGAUCCUUUGUCCUUUAUGACUGCUGUGAAUCUGUCUAGUCUCCUGUGUGCUCCCAUAGCAUACUGAGCUAAGUCACAUAACGACUAAUACGUAUUGAAUAUUUACUAUGGACUAGGCACUCUUGCUAAGCUCUUUGCAUGAAUUAAUUCAUUGAAUCCCCACAUAACCCAAGAGGUAAAUCCUAUGACCUCUCUUUCACCCAUGGGGAAACAGACACAGAUAAGGGCCCUGCCCAAGGCUACACAGUGUGAAAGCAGUGGAGCUAGGAUUUGAACCCAGGUGGUCUGUGUGGAGAGCUGGCCUGUUUAUCUACCGUCCCCCUGUCCUGCAAUCACAGGACUUAACUAUUUGCCUGUUUAUUUGUCGGACUGCCUGCUCUAGGCUGGGGACUUCUGAGAGCAAGGGCCUUGUCUGGUGAGCCUCUCCAUCCCAGGGCCUGAGAGGGCAAAGCACAUAGAGGUUAAUGGGAGCUGAAUGAACACAGACUGGGUGGAUUCUCUGCAUUCGAAACAGUCGCAGUCGCAGGACAGAGAACCGGCAAGAUCAAACAGGAAUAUAAAUGGCAAGGUGCAUGGGAAUUUGUCAUCCAGCCAGCCCAGGGCAUCAAGAAAGAGGUUAGAGAAGGGUGGGGAGGAGAAUCAAUGGAAUCAAGAAGGUGCUACAAAUUCUGCUUAUAAAGGAUGUUACUUCCUUCUCACAAUGAACUGAUCAAUCAAUUAAUGAUGAAAUCAAAGCACUAAGCAUUUAUUGAAUACCUGUUUGUGCUAAGCUCUCUUCUAGGUGCUGAAAACACAAAGUAAACAUGUCACCAUCCCUGCCUUGGGGCCCCACUGCCUGGAAAGGGAGAGGACACAGCCAUGGGUUGUUAUAAUUCAAUGUGGCAAAUGCAAGGAUUGAGGGGUCAGAGGCACGCACUGUUACAGAACACAGGCGCUGCAGGAGUGCAAGGAAGCCGCCAGGCAGAGACUAGCAGAUCCAGCAAGCCUUCGUGGGGGAGAUGACCACUGGGCUAUCUGUGUCUUUAUUUUAUUUUAUUUUAUUUUAUUUUAUUUUAUUUUAUUUUAUAUUUUAUUUUAU
rnacentral:lncRNA from 10 species